UACCAGCACCCCGAGUGGUCGGGACGUUUAUUGGGACUAAAGCAUCCGUAGCCGGUUCUACAAGUCUUCCGUUAAAUCCAACUGCUUAACAGGUGGGCUGCGGAAGAUACUAUAGAGCUAGGAGGCGGGAGAGGCAAGCGGUACUCGAUGGGUAGGGGUAAAAUCCGUUGAUCCAUUGAAGGCCACCAGUGGCGAAGGCGGCUUGCCAGAACGCGCUCGACGGUGAGGGAUGAAAGCUGGGGGAGCAAACCGG
rnacentral:rRNA from 1 species